CUCGUAGGCGGUUCGUCACGUCGGGAGUGAAAACUCGGAGCUUAACUCCGAGCCUGCUUCCGAUACGGGCAGACUAGAGGUAGGCAGGGGAGAGCGGAACUCCUGGUGUAGCGGUGGAAUGCGCAGAUAUCAGGAAGAACACCGGUGGCGAAGGCGGCUCUCUGGGCCUUACCUGACGCUGAGGAGCGAAAGCGUGGGUAGCGAACAGGAUUAGAUACCCUGGUAGUCCACGCCGUAAACGUUGGGCGCUAGGUGUGGGGGACAUUCCACGUCCUCCGUGCCGCAGCUAACGCAUUAAGCGCCCCGCCUGGGGAGUACGGCCGCAAGGCUAAA
rnacentral:rRNA from 1 species